UAAUCACUCUGUCUCUGAACACCGCUAUUAAUUUUAUCCUGAUAUUUUAGGUGAUCUUUUUUACCUACCUAAAUCUAUCCACCCGCUGCAAUCAACGGCUCCAAGAUGUGCUGCAAUCCCGGAGGCUGCUGCAACCUGCCCACCUGCAUCCAGUGCACCAACUUCUGCUUCAAUUGCUGGACCGGCACUGCCGCGGUGCCAUGUUGCCGUCGUAGCUGCAUUCCGGGAUGCUGUGGCAGUCCUCGUUGCUGUUGAUUAACAUUAACAUCUGCCGUCCACACAAAUUUCAAAUAAAAAUCCACCUGCCUCGGUCUUAUCAUUAUUUUUAAUCCUUUGCUCCGCGCAGGGGUUAAAUAAAAAUACCGUUUAGUAUUUGCCGCUGCCAAACGUUGGCAAAUGAAAGCUGGUCACACCACACCAAACAAAUA